ACGGGGGGUGCAAGCGUUGUUCGGAAUCAUUGGGCGUAAAGAGCGUGUAGGCGGCCAGGCAAGUCAGAUGUGAAAGCCCUGGGCUCAACCCAGGAAGUGCAUUUGAAACUGCAUGGCUAGAGUAAGGGAGAGGAAAGUGGAAUUCCUGGUGUAGAGGUGAAAUUCGUAGAUAUCAGGAGGAACACCGGUGGCGAAGGCGACUUUCUGGCCCUAUACUGACGCUCAGGCGCGAGAGCGUGGGUAGCAAACAG
rnacentral:rRNA from 1 species